AAAGAAGCAAUAGCGAAAUCGUGGCUCUAUGAACAAGAACUUGAUAAUAAGGCUCAUUAGAAGGAUAAGUUGCCUUAACACAACAAAGUCCAAAAGACAAACGUAAAUCUGAUGGGUAAAUCAAGAGAGUAAACGAGGAAAGAG
rnacentral:ncRNA from 1 species